rnacentral:rRNA from 1 species
CCUACGGGAGGCAGCAGUGGGGAAUAUUGGGCAAUGGGCGCAAGCCUGACCCAGCAACGCCGCGUGAAGGAAGAAGGCUUUCGGGUUGUAAACUUCUUUUCUCAGGGACGAAGCAAGUGACGGUACCUGAGGAAUAAGCCACGGCUAACUACGUGCCAGCAGCCGCGGGAAUACGUAGGUGGCAAGCGUUAUCCGGAUUUACUGGGUAUAAAGGGCGUGUAGGCGGGAAAGCAAGUCAGAUGUGAAAACCAUGGGCUCAACCUGUGGCCUGCAUUUGAAACUGUUUUUCUUGAGUACUGGAGAGGCAGACGGAAUUCCUAGUGGAGCGGUGAAAUGCGUAGAUAUUAGGAGGAACACCAGUGGCGAAGGCGGUCUGCUGGACAGCAACUGACGCUGAGGCGCGAAAGCGUGGGGAGCGAACAGGAUUAGAUACCCGGGUAGUC